rnacentral:rRNA from 1 species
GUGAAUCAUCGAAUCUUUGAACGCACCUUGCGCUCUCUGGUAUUCCGGAGAGCAUGCCUGUUUGAGUGUCAUGAAUCUCUCAACUCCUAAAGUCUGUAAUGGAUAUUAGGGGCUUGGACUUGGAGGCUUGCCGGCGUUGGUCGGCUCCUCUUAAAUGCAUUAGCUAUGGAUCACGAUGUGUACGAUCUACGGUGUGAUAUAUGUCUACGCUAUAAGAUCUACAUGCGAGUUACCACCUUCGGGUAGCGCUCUCUUAGGGGAGCCGUGUGACGAGUGAAUACAAAGCUUCUAAUCGUCUUCGGACAAAUUUACUUGACAUCUGACCUCAAAUCAGGUAGGACUACCCGCUGAACUUAA